AUGAUACACGCAUGGAUUUCUGUUUCACAAGAGUACAGUGAAGUAACCCUUCUGAAAGAGGUUCUCCGGAAUAUUGGUGUGCAUCAUGAGCAAGGUGAAACCAUAGCAGAGCUCCAGAGGAAGCUUGCAGAAACGAUCGAAGGGAAGAGUUUUUUUCUAGUUCUAGAUGAUGUCUGGAAUUCCAAUGUAUGGAUGGAUCUAUUAAGGCCUGCAUUACAUGAAACAACAUCUGGAGUAAUAUUGGUAACGACAAGAGAUGAUCAAAUUACAAGGAGAAUAGGUGUAGAUCAUACCCAUCGAGUUGAUCUCAUGUCAGUAGAGGUGGGAUGGGAGCUACUUUGGAAGAGCAUGAACAUUGAGGAAGAGAAAGAAGUGCAGAAUUUAAGAAACACGGAGAUUGAGAUUGUUCGUAAAUGCGGUCACCUCCCUCUUGCAAUCAAGGUUACAGCUAGUGCUUUGGCAAGCAGAGCUCUAACGGAGAAUGAGUGGAAAAAGUAUUUUGGCAAAUAUGCUGGUUCCCAGAGCAUGCUCUCUGAUGAAAUAGAAGGAGCUCUGUAUCUAAGCUAUGAUGAGUUGCCGCAUCGUCUGAAACAGUGUUUCCUUUAUUGUGCUUUGUAUGUUGAAGAUUCUAUCAUUCAGCGUGAUGAAGUUACCUGGUUAUGGAUUGCUGAAGGCUUCAUCGAGGAGCAGCAAGGACAACUAAUAGAAGACAUAGCAGAAGAGUACUACUAUGAGCUAAUACAUCGGAAUCUCCUCGAGCCAGAUAUUUUAAGUUUUAGCCAGGCUAGAUGCAAAAUGCAUGACCUCUUAAGACAACUUGCUUGUAAUAUAUCAAGAGAAGAAUGUUUUAUUGGAGAUGUUGAAACAUUAAGGGGUGAAACUAUGUCAAAACUGCGGCGUGUUACUGCUAUCACUAACAAGGAUAAAUUAGUCUUACCUAGUAUGGAUAAGGUGGAAGUUAAGGUGAGAACUUUCCUAACUAUCAAUGGUCCGUGGAGCAUCGAGGAUGCAUUAUUCAAGAGAUUUAUGCUCCUUCGUGUUUUGGUAUUGAACAGCUCACUUGUACAGAGCAUUCCGAACUAUAUAGGAAAAUUGAUACAUCUGCGCCUACUUAAUCUAGAUUACACUGGCAUAUCUUUUCUUCCGAAAUCCAUUGGCUCCCUAAAGAACCUUCAAGUACUGAGCUUGAGAUGGUGUCAUGAUCUGCACACUCUUCCUUCAGCAAUGACCCUGUUGACCAGUCUUAGAUGUCUUGAUCUUUAUGGCACAGAAAUAAAUCAGGUUUCAGAAGGGAUAGGGAAACUGAAGUUUCUCACUCGUUUAAGCGACUAUCCUGUUGGUGAUGGAAGUGAUAAUGCUGUUGUACAAGAUGGAUGA
rnacentral:rRNA from 1 species